rnacentral:lncRNA from 1 species
GUCCUGCAUUUUUUUUAAGCUGUAAUCUCUGUCCUGCCUUUUUAUUUUUCACUCCGUUCGGUCCUGCCUUUUUUUUUUAGUUUAUCCUGACUUUUUUUUACCUAAAUUGUCGUCCUGACUUUUUUUUUGUAAGUGUCUCAUCCUGCCUUUUUUUUUUUAACUCAAAACUCCUGUCCUGCCUAUUUUUUUCAAAUUUCAUCCUAG